CCUACGGGGGGCAGCAGUGAGGAAUAUUGGUCAAUGGGCGCGAGCCUGAACCAGCCAAGUAGCGUGAAGGAUGACUGCCCUACGGGUUGUAAACUUCUUUUAUAAAGGAAUAAAGUGAGGCACGUGUGCCUUUUUGUAUGUACUUUAUGAAUAAGGAUCGGCUAACUCCGUGCCAGCAGCCGCGGUAAUACGGAGGAUCCGAGCGUUAUGCGGAUUUCUUGGGGUUAAGGGGAGCGUAGAUGGGUUGUUAAGUCAGUUGUGAAAUGUUGCGGCUCAACCGUAGAAUUGCUGUUUAUACUGGAAGCUUUGAGUACAGUGGGGGUAGGUGGAAUUCGUGGUGUAGCGGUAGAAUGC
rnacentral:rRNA from 1 species